UCAGCACGAGGCUGGGCCACCACAGCCAAGUGUUUCAAUUCCUGAAGAGCUUCCAGAAGAAAUUAGUAUGUAAUGACCGCACUCUGCAAGAAGAAAGGCCCAUUAUGGCUCUCGCUGACUGUACUUGGCUUUCAUUUGCAAGCUAAAUGGAUGCGUGCGAAGAUACAUGUGGGUGCACAGCCAAAAGCGCUAAUUCGUGGCCCCGAGGAUGUUCAUUUCAUGUAAUCUCAGCAUUCAGGGAGGGAACUGUUGCAAAUGAGAUGGGCCUCGCCGUGUUGGGUGACUGAUGCACUCCUGCAUCCAGAUGGUACAGACAGGGCUCUAGAAACCAGCUCGCGCUCUGUCUGCCUGUCCCAUCGCUUCCUAUUCUGUGGGCCUUUUGUCAUCAACAGACAUUGAGCUGCCAUUUAUAUUCAACAGACACGUGCACUGAGGAAAAAGGCAUGCCAGCUCAUAACAACAAUAAAAGACACAAAUAUAUCACACAUCCUGACAAGUGCGCUUCAGAUGUCAAUCACUCUGAGAGGAGCUCAGGGCUUUACUCCUUACUUGCCAUUAGCAGCGCUUAGCAUGCUAAUUAAGCCUUCCGUACAAUCUAAGAUGCCACCCCAUAUAUUUUUGUUUUCAUCGGGGAACAUUUACGCCUUCAGUUUUAGCCACCCAAGGCCGCAAAAUCCAAGAGUUGUCUUCAGAAAUGCAACUGUAGUGGUACUACAAUUUCAGACCAUUUUAAAUUUCCUACCCGUCUACCUCUCAUUCGAGCUCAAACAUGCAUUAAUUUAUCAAGCUUAA